CUUCCCUCGAAAAUACUCUACCAGAAUGUCUGAACUAGCUUCUGGUUUAGCCAUACACUUUCUUACACAGGACAGGUAAAUAUCAAAAUAGCACAUGGUUUGUUGAUGAAGAGAAUUCAAAACAGAGUGUGCAAAGCUGACAGUGGGACAGAUGCUUGUAGAAAUAAUAAUUUAGGUCAGUGGGUACCUUCCAGCUAAAGGGGAAGAACAGGAAGAAAAGACCACUUCUGCUUCCUCAGAACAGCCAAGUGACUAGAGAAAACUGAGGGGAGGGUGAGUUGGAAAGGACAAAGAAACCAAAGCUGAUAGAAGUUACAAAAUAAAGAAAACAAUGAAAUACCAUCAGGAUACAGUGAGUGGAACAUUUAAAGCAGAAGCAAGACUAAAACAAGAGAAGGAUCUCUGAAGGUAAAUUUCUCAGAGAUUUAACCUUCUGCCAAUUUAACAAGAGGAAAGUGGAACAACCUUUGUCUAAUAAGAUGGUCUACCCUUGCAGCAUUUAACAGUGGCAGAAGGACCACAUAUAUUCACCAGAGGCUCCAAGCCCUGGGGAUCCAAAGCUAAAUUCUCUGGGAACCAAGAACAAGCUACUCUCCUAAGACACUUUCUCAUAAACAAAGUACAGCUAAUAUCAAGGGGGAGGGGGCUCCGGAAAGGGUUGAACCAGAAGCAGGAACUACCUCAUCACCUGUGCUACUAAUUGGGAAUUCCUGAAAAUUAUGCUAAUUUGCUAAAUUUAUAAAGCUGCAUUAGCUCUGUGUAGGGUGGGAAUUUUCCAUAUUUGCCUCUGGAGGCCUCCAAUUAAAGACCAAUUAUAUUACCUCCUAUAAUAAUAUUAUCUCAAAAGUGUGUUAUUUCUAGAUCUUUAAGGCAGCAAAAGAUCCAGAAACAUGGCUGAA